UUCUGUCCGGCCGUCCAUCCUUGUCAGAUGGUAAAUAAGAGGUCUAUGUGCUUGAACUUGAGGUGUUUAUUUACAUGUCUAAAUCAUAGAGUGCUCAACUGUAUCUUUUAAUUAACAUGUCCAAAUCAAAGCCUUGACCCAUUCUUGUCUGGAUUGCACUCAGGCUGUUAUGAUUCUUUUCAGGAAAUUAUGUACAGCUGAUUACUUGGAUUGGUCGCCAUUUCAGAGAUGAUAAGCGGGAGGGUUAGACAAUUAUGGGUUUCAAUACCUCAGGAGAGUGGCCAUUGUCACUGCCAUCUCCCUUAUAUUCUACUAUACAGACAAAAUAUUUCUUGAACCGCAAUUUUCUUAUGACAGUUUUGCCUAUAAUGUGGCUGUCCUCCCGUUACAUCCUCGGUUAGAAAUGGGGUCUAUCACCCGAGACCCUUCUUGAACAUGACAACGACGCUCCAUGAAGCCUGGCUACUGCAAUGUUGUCAUGUUCACCGCAUAUCAUCACACACUUCGUCCAGAGUUAAUUGCACAAAACCACCAUAUUGUCGCAUAGGGUUGCAGAAAACACUUUGAUACAUAUUCGUUGCAAAAAACACAGGAAGUGUGUCUAUUUUUUUUCCCAAAAAGCACUGAUCCGUCUGUUGGAGCAUUUUAAGCACGAUUAUGACAUGUA
rnacentral:lncRNA from 1 species